rnacentral:rRNA from 1 species
UGAGCAAUCUGCCCUUCUCUUUGGAAUAAGCGUUGGAAACGACGUCUAAUGCCGAAUACGACCUCCUUUCGCAUGAUCGGAGGUGGAAAGCUCCGGCGGAGAAGGAUGAGCUCGCGGCCUAUCAGCUAGUUGGUGUGGGUAAUGGCCCACAAGGCGACGACGGGUAGCCGGCCUGAGGAGGGUCGACCCGCCACACGUGGGACUGAGACACGGCCCAGACCUCCGUACGGGAGG